UACGUAGGGGCUAGCGUUAUCCGGAAUUACUGGGCGUAAAGGGUGCGUAGGCGGUCUUUCAAGCCAGAAGUGAAAGGCUACGGCUCAACCGUAGUAAGCCUUUGAAACUGGGAAACUUGAGUGCAGGAGAGGAGAGUGGAAUUCCUAGUGUAGCGGUGAAAUGCGUAGAUAUUAGGAGGAACACCAGUUGCGAAGGCGGCUCUCUGGACUGUAACUGACACUGAGGCACGAAAGCGUGGGGAGCAAACAGGAUUAGAUACCCGGGUAGUCCCUGAG
rnacentral:rRNA from 1 species